rnacentral:rRNA from 1 species
UACGUAGGGCGCAAGCGUUGUCCGGAAUCAUUGGGCGUAAAGAGCUCGUAGGUGGUCUGUUACGUCUGCUGUGAAAUCCUAGGGCUUAACCCUGGGCCUGCAGUGGAUACGGACAGACUAGAGGUAGGUAGGGGAGAAUGGAAUUCCCGGUGUAGCGGUGAAAUGCGCAGAUAUCGGGAGGAACACCAGUGGCGAAGGCGGCGAUCUGGGAAGAUACUGACGCUGAGGUGCGAAAGCGUGGGGAGCAAACAGG